UCCCUGCAUUGGAAACAUGGAGUCUUAACCACUGGACUGCCAGGGAAGUCCCCAGAUCAUAUUUAUUUAUUUAUUUAAAUUAAUUAAUUAAUUUAUUUUUGGCUGCGUUGGGCCUUCGUUGCUGCACAAGCUUUCUCUAGUUGCGGCGAGUGGGGGCUACUCUUUUUUUUUCUUUUUUGCGGUAUGUGGGCCUCUCAGUGCUGUGGCUUCUCCCGCAGCUAAGCACAGGCUCCGGACGCGCAGGCCCAAUGGCCAUGGCUCACGGGCCCAGCCGUUCCGCGGCAUGUGAGAUCCUCCCGGACCGGGGCACGAACCCGUGUCCCCCGCAUCGGCAGGCGGACUCUCAACCACUGCGCCACCAGGGAAGCCCAGGGGGGGUGCUACUCUUGGUUGAGGUGCGCAGGCUUCUCAUUGCGGUGGCUUCUCUUGUUGCGGAGCAUGGGCUCUAGGUGCGUGGGCUUCAGUAGUUGUGGCACGCAGGCUCAGUAGUUGUGGCUCACGGGCUCUAGAGCACAGGCUCAGUAGUUCUGGCGCACAGGCUUAGUUGCUCCGUGGCAUGUGGGAUCUUCGCGGACCAGGGCUCGUACCCAUCUCCCCUGCAUUGGCAGGUGGAUUCUUAACCACUGUGGCACCGGGGAAGUCCCUUUGUUUGUUUUUUACUGUAGAUUUAUAUCUCAAUUUGUUUCAGAGCAAUUACUUCAAACGUACAUAGUUAAUUUAUUUUUGUCUAUGAUCAUUGCCGUAUGAUUGUUAAAGAUAAUUUCUUGAAUUCCUAAACAUGGCUGAAUUUUUAUAAUUUUGACGCUUGAAUUGCUUAUGAUAAUUUUUAUGAGUUUCCUAUACCCGGAGACACAACUUUUGUGACUCUAUGGAAUGACAGGUUCAUUUAUAUCUGUAGCCUUUAGGGGCGUCUGAAAGAAUUAGUUUAGCCUCUCAGAGCACGCUGAGCUUCCCGGGAGUCCAAACUAAUACGUCUCCAAACACCUGCGCCAUCAGUUGCAGAAAGGGCUCCCCAGAAAUCUGAGUAUGGCCUUUUCAAGAAGGAGCGAAGUCCCUCCUCUGCCCGAGCACCCAGACGCACAAUUUCCCAGCGCCCCUGGCAGCGGAGCUCUGCCUUUUUUUUUUUUUUACUGCCUUCUUUACUAGAGGUCGGCGGGGAGUAUCCUCACACGCGGCCUGUGGUUCUGCGGGAACUACAUUACCCAGAAUGCUCCACGACGGGCGGCAGCGCCACUCAGCCAAUCAAAGUCUCAUAAAAGGGGCGUUUCCGUAUCAGGUGCAAUUCAUAAGGGAGCGACUUCUGGUUUCCUUCUCGUGGCGGCCAUUUUAACUGCUCUGGGUCUGUUCUGGCUCCGGACUGCUGGGUCUGGACCGACGUGACGGCCAACAAGGUCCGAGAAGAGGCCUUUUUCUCCCAGGACAAAAGCGGGUCUGAGGCUCGGCGACCCCGUCCCGAUGCCCCGCGCCAGGCCUGGGAGACGGACUGCCGAUCUGGGUCCCGCUCUGCCCACAGACCCCAAUGGCAGCGGUGGUGCUGAGGGACCCGCCUCAGCAGGGCAAUGUGACCUUUGAGGAUGUGGCCAUGUACUUCUCUUUGGAGGAACGGAAUCUCCUUGACGAGCCUCACAGAUGCCUGUACCAAGAUGUGAUACUGGAGAAUUUUGCACUUGUAACCUCCCUGGUCUGGGAAGUUGAAGAUUAAGGCACUGGCCUUGUGGAAAGAGCCUUCUCUUUUUCUACGAAAAGAAUAGGUUGUUGGUGUAGAGUGGAGAAUAAGGAGGCAUCUUCUGAGCACAGCAUUUCUGCAAAGUAAUGCCACAGGAUAGGACUCUUAAAGCAGGUCUGUCUCCCCAGAAGGCCCACGUCUGUGAGAUGUGUGGACCCAUGUUGAGAGACAGUUUGCACUUUGUU